rnacentral:sRNA from 1 species
UUCUCGAGCUUUCGCAUACAAGGGUUGGU